CCUACGGGCGGCAGCAGUGCGGAAUAUUGGUCAAUGGGAGAGAUCCUGAACCAGCCAAGCCGCGUGAGGGAAGACGGCCCUAUGGGUUGUAAACCUCUUUUGUCGGAGAACAAAACCCGGGACGAUGCCCGGACUGCGUGUAUCCGAAGAAAAAGCAUCGGCUAACUCCGUGCAAGCAGCCGCGGUAAUACGGAGGAUGCGGGCGUUAUCCGUAUUUAUUGGGGUUAAAGGGUGCGUAGGCGGUCUGUGAAGUCAGCGGUAACAUUGCGGUGCUCAACCCCGUCGAGCCGUUGAAACUGGCAGACUUGAGUUGACGAGAAGUACGCGGAAUGCGCGGUGUAGCGGUGAAAUGCAUAGAUAUCGCGCAGAACUCCGAUUGCGAAGGCAGCGUACCGGCGCCAGACUGACGCUGAGGCACGAAAGCGUGGGGAUCGAACAGGAUUAGAUACCCCUGUAGUC
rnacentral:rRNA from 1 species